rnacentral:rRNA from 1 species
CAACUCUUGGAAACGAGAGCUAAUACCCGAUACGCUGUGGAGUGAAAGAAUUUCGCCGAGGGAUGAUCUUGCGUCUGAUUAGCUAGUUGGUGUGGUAAUGGCACACCAAGGCGACGAUCAGUAGCUGGUCUGAGAGGAUGGACAGCCACAUUGGAACUGAGACACGGUCCAAACUCCUACGGGAGGCAGCAGUGGGGAAUUUUCCGCAAUGGACGCAAGUCUGACGGAGCGACGCUGCGUGAAGGAUGACGGCCCGCGGGUUGUAAACUUCUUUUCUCGAAGAAGAAACAAAUGACGGUAUUCGAGGAAUAAGCAUCGGCUAACUCCGUGCCAGCAGCCGCGGUAAGACGGAGGAUGCAAGUGUUAUUCGGAAUGAUUGGGCGUAAAGAG